rnacentral:ncRNA from 1 species
GAUAGGGGUUGCGGAUAUGAUGAGUACCCGUCAAUAGACAUCGGCAAAUGAUUGCAUGGGGAAAGGCUGUUCCGCCGAAGUGGGUUUGUGGUUGCCGCCGCAAAUUUUGCUGGGACUGUGCUUAACAGGCACAGGACUGUCACAUACCUCGUAUGUGGAGUACUAUC